CCUACGGGAGGCUGCAGUGGGGAAUAUUGGACAAUGGGGGGAACCCUGAUCCAGCCAUGCCGCGUGUGUGAAGAAGGCCCUCGGGUUGUAAAGCACUUUCAGUGAGGAAGAACGCCUGGUGGUUAAUACCCAUCAGGAAAGACAUCACUCACAGAAGAAGCACCGGCUAACUCCGUGCCAGCAGCCGCGGUAAUACGGAGGGUGCGAGCGUUAAUCGGAAUUACUGGGCGUAAAGCGCGCGUAGGUGGCUUGAUAAGCCGGUUGUGAAAGCCCCGGGCUCAACCUGGGAACGGCAUCCGGAACUGUCAAGCUAGAGUGCAGGAGAGGAAGGUAGAAUUCCCGGUGUAGCGGUGAAAUGCGUAGAGAUCGGGAGGAAUACCAGUGGCGAAGGCGGCCUUCUGGACUGACACUGACACUGAGGUGCGAAAGCGUGGGUAUCAAACAGGAUUAGAUACCCGGGUAGUC
rnacentral:rRNA from 1 species